rnacentral:rRNA from 1 species
ACAAGCGGUGGAGUAUGUGGUUAAUUCGAUGCAACGCGAAGAACCUUACCUGGUCUUGACAUCCCGGAGACCCUUAGGAAACUAGGGGUGCUUCCAUCUGGAAGAAUCUGGAGACAGGUGCUGCAUGGCUGUCGUCAGCUCGUGUCGUGAGAUGUUGGGUUAAGUCCCGCAACGAGCGCAACCCUUGCCUUUAGUUGCCAGCAGUUCGGCUGGGCACUCUAAAGGGACUGCCGGGUGUUAAACCGGAGGAAGGUGGGGAUGACGUCAAGUCCUCAUGGCCUUUAUGACCAGGGCUACACACGUACUACAAUGGCCGAUACAAAGGGCAGCGACACUGCGAGGUGAAGCCAAUCCCGUAAAAUCGGUCUCAGUCCGGAUUGGAGUCUGCAACUCGACUCCAUGAAGUUGGAAUCGCUAGUAAUCGUGGAUCAGCAUGCCACGGUGAAUACGUUCCCGGGCCUU